rnacentral:rRNA from 1 species
GUGGGGAAUAUUGGACAAUGGGCGAAAGCCUGAUCCAGCCAUGCCGCGUGUGUGAAGAAGGUCUUCGGAUUGUAAAGCACUUUAAGUUGGGAGGAAGGGUUGUAGAUUAAUACUCUGCAAUUUUGACGUUACCGACAGAAUAAGCACCGGCUAACUUCGUGCCAGCAGCCGCGGUAAUACGAAGGGUGCAAGCGUUAAUCGGAAUUACUGGGCGUAAAGCGCGCGUAGGUGGUUCGUUAAGUUGGAUGUGAAAGCCCCGGGCUCAACCUGGGAACUGCAUCCAAAACUGGCGAGCUAGAGUACGGUAGAGGGUGGUGGAAUUUCCUGUGUAGCGGUGAAAUGCGUAGAUAUAGGAAGGAACACCAGUGGCGAAGGCGACUACCUGGACUGAUACUGACACUGAGGUGCGAAAGCGUGGGGAGCAAACAGGAUUAGAUACCCCGGUAGUCC